CGAAGGGUGCAAGCGUUGUUCGGAAUUAUUGGGCGUAAAGCGCACGUAGGCGGCCUUGUAAGUCUCACUGUGAAAGUCCGGGGCUCAACCCCGGGAUGCCAGGGGAUACUGCGAGGCUGGAGACAAGCAGAGGUUGGUAGAAUUCCGGGUGUAGCGGUGGAAUGCGUAGAGAUCCGGAGGAAUACCAGAGGCGAAGGCGGCCAACUGGGCUUGUUCUGACGCUGAGGUGCGAAAGCGUGGGGAGCGAACAGGAUUAGAUACCCUGGUAGUCCACGCCGUAAACGAUGGACACUAGAUGCCGGCGGGAACGACCCCAUCGGUGUCGAAGCUAACGCAUUAAGUGUCCCGCCUGGGGAGUACGGCCGCAAGGCUG
rnacentral:rRNA from 1 species